AGCCGUAACUAGCGUCUUCUUCUUCAGCGCCUGGUAUCUGAAAAGAAAAUUAUGUGUUAUCUGUCAGCAUCAAUGGCGUCUCAAGUAAUUGGAUUACUGAAAUCGAGUUGCGGAAUCUCUUUGUUUGCCUCCAAUCACGUCUUAUAGACUUCUCCUCUAAUAAUCCGUUCCGAGUUAUUCACCAUCGCAUUUAUCACCUUAAUAACUCCAUAGGCGAUGUGAACCACGAUCUGAAUUUAAUUGUGAGUUAUACCUCUGAACUACACCUAUAAAAAGGCUGGCCGAGGCUCCUCCACCGUCCAAGUGCCGUUGCUCAGAUUCUGGAAAGCCAGAAAUGUCCGAGUGGAGGGGAACUGAUGUCUCUUGAUAUGCUUUUACUGGAUUCAAAGAAUGGUUUCUUUCUAAAUGUGUUUCAGGUGACCAUUAUGCAAGCAUCCGUGAGCGUGAGCUGGCUAGCAACUUACAGGCCUUAUCUCCGGCCGGUUCAAUGUAUUAUGUCACCAGUUUUGAUGUAACUCGGUGUAAUCAAAACUUCAGGCUCUUGGACUCCUCUCUGCUGAUUCGAUUCAGUGACGCUACCGCUCUUGAGAGUUAACUGAACCAUCUUCUCCAAUACCUAAAGAAUGUUUCAGGUGCCGUAAUCACAGUGAGAUGCUUGGUCUAGCCAACACCAAUACCCAACGUCUAGGUAUUCCUCCUAUAAUUUGUUCAUCAGUAUAGCUGGAUAAGAUAUUAUAUUAAUCCUCAAAUAUUAUUGGUGAAAUAACCGCUGUUAAGAGAAAGUUCUAUUUCGCUUGAAUGGCUAACUCAUCUAUAUUACUCGCUGAAGGCUGGCAAGAGAUGGGUUCUUCUUCUGUUUUGGACAGGAAAAUCUGAGGAUUAGAGGUGCUCGAAACCAAAGGGUAUCUCCUCAUCAUUCUCUUCCUGACUAUGUACCUUUGCCGGAGAUGGGUUCUUCUUCUCUUUCGGAGAGUAAAAUCUGAGGAUUCAAAAGUGUUAAAGCUUUGGAGACUCCGGGAGUAAGUAAGGAACUCCAUCGGCUCGAGAGGCAUCUCCAAUGGACGGUAAACAAGGUAUGUCUUGCAUGUCGGAACCAUGGCUCUUUCCAUUUUAGACAGAGAUGAAGGAAGUGAGAGAGAAAGUGGAGGUCAAGAAAGAGAAAUAUAGUAUUGGGAGGAGACUUUUGGUAAUGUGUUCGAUUUUGGCCUUAAUGGAGGUCUUCUUUCAAGAGCACGUUUUGGGUUCAUGUUUGUUGCCAUGCAUGCUGUUACUGGUUCUUAUGCGAGACAAAAUUUUGUCGAUUAUCUUGGAGCCAAACCAGAUUCAAUUUUCAAUGGAGUUCCUCUAGAAGACUUUGGACAUGCGUCACAUGGCCAUCCAGAUCCUAAUUUGAUGUAAGAAAAAAACUAAAGGGAAGACUCACCAUAUAUACUUAGUAUAUAAUUUUAUAAACCUUCUUAUAUAUAGAUACACAAAUUGCCAGUGUAUAGAACGUCAAGUCAAGAACAAUUGCAUGUCUUUUCUUUCUUUUUUUUUUCAACAAGAACAAUUGCCUGUCUAUCUUAGCAAUGGGGGAGUCAAAAGCAUGGAGCUCUUUUGCAGCUAUAGUUUGCUUCACAAGAAUAAAUUUCAUAUUCUAUGUUGGGUGUAAGGUUCUCUUUUUAGAUACAAGAUUUUAGUUUAACAAAAAACAAGUUACACAUGGUGUACAAAAGCAUUUUUCUUGAAUAAAUUUUGCAUAUUAUUCAAAAAAAAAAUAGAUAUGCAAAUUGGUUGAUGUCCUGUAUCGUAGCGACGGACCUAAUUUCUGAGCUGCAAGUGAUGGUAUGUUUGUGAAUAGAUAUCUUACAAAUUUUCUUGGUUUUUUAGCUUUAAGACACAUCUCUCAUAAAUUUAGUCACCAUAAUUGUGCAUUUUCUGAAAGAUGAUGGUGAAACAAAUGGUUUUAGGAAACAAAUUCUUUGUAUAACUCCUUCAGAAUAUGUUGCUACCAUGGCAGCCAAUGCACAAGAAACGUUUCCAUAUUUUCGUUCUGGUCCUAAGGUGGGAUUGCCUUGCAUAUUAUGUACAUGUAUAUAUAUUGACGCUUAAAUUUAAAUUGCAUAAAGUUGAAUCUUUCUUUCUUCGGGGUCAAUCAAUUUCAUCAAACAAUGUAUAUACCUGCUUUACAACCAAACUAACCAAACUAAUGUUUACGUAAGUAUAGAUGUAUGUAUCACAUUUUAAAUAAAUAUAUAUAUGUAUAUAUUUGACCAAAAAAAGAAAAGAAAUAUAUAUAUAUAUAUAAGUAUCAGUGCAUUCAUCUAUGUUUAUAUAUAAUAUAUAUGAUAUCUAAUAAGAAUAAACAUCAAUACAAUACUAAAAGGUGAAUAUAAGCUAAGGGGAAUGUGUCCACGUAAGAAAAAAUAAUCAGCCAAUAGCAAACCAGCAUUUCACCACAUCAGAUCAAGAAAUUGGGUAUUCUUGGGCUCUUUUAUUUUUGUAUUUGUUUUGUUCGAAACAAAUUAAGUCUCAGCCCAUAUCAUGCUUUAUCUCUCGCGUGAAUCUCUCUCUCUCUCCGUUUCAUCUUCCGGCGAUCAAACAUGGUGGCAAAAAAAACGGUCACGCCUUCUACACAAAACCAAUCCAGUUCAAAGACAUACCAAACGCCACCGUCUCUUCCGUCUCCACCACCUUCGUCUUCGCCAUAUACUCCCAGAUCCCCACUCUAAGCGGCCAUGGAAUCGUCUUCGUCGUCUCUCCAUCCCAUAGCCUCACUUCCGCACUCCCAAUCAAGUCAAUACAUCGGUCUCUUCAACAACUCAAACAACGGUAACGAAACGAACCACGUCUUCACUGUCGAGUUCGACACGAUCCAAAGCAACGAGUUCGGAGAUCCGAACGAUAACCACGACGGAAUCGAUAUAAACGGUUUAAGAUCGUUUGAGUACUCAGCCGCUGAGUACUGGAACGAGAGAGAUGCAAGGUUUUGGUGUUGGACACAUGCGUGAUACCAAAACAAAAGAGAUAGAGCUUGACGGUGUAAAAACUUCCAUUAUAUUACCCCGACACUGAAGGAUUCGAAAGCGUUGGAAAGUCUACUGUUUAUGACGACUCUUUGAACAUUUAGACAUUUUGUUUGAUGAUGCUUUGGAUAUCUAAUCAACUGUUUUUGCUGAUUUUUUUUCAGAAUAUUUGCUCGAGCAACGGUGAUGACUUCAGUGCUGAUUAAUAAUCUGCCUGAAACUGUAAGUUGACCUGCCUCGGUCUUUUUCUUAUGGUUCUAAAAACAGUAUACUUAUGACCCAAGAAUGUAGAACCUGGUAUCCAAUGAUCUAUAUGUACUUCAUCAGAGUAUGUAUCCGACUUAUGAAUAAACAUAAUUUAGCUAUUUAUUUUGUCUUAUUUAUCUUCCCUGCAGCUAAUUGUGGCUUUGAGAAUUCAUUUUCUAUUUUAAAUGCUUUUUAAACUAGUGUUUGAUGAUUAUCUGUCUCACAUUGUU